GGGGUGCUCGAGUGGCGAACGGGUGAGUAACACGUGAGUAACCUGCCCUUGACUUUGGGAUAACUUCAGGAAACUGGGGCUAAUACCGGAUAGGAGCUCCUGCUGCAUGGUGGGGGUUGGAAAGUUUCGGCGGUUGGGGAUGGACUCGCGGCUUAUCAGCUUGUUGGUGGGGUAGUGGCUUACCAAGGCUUUGACGGGUAGCCGGCCUGAGAGGGUGGCCGGCCACAUUGGGACUGAGAUACGGCCCAG
rnacentral:rRNA from 1 species